CGCCAGACUCCUACGGGAGGCAGCAGUGGGGGAUAUUGCACAAUGGGGGAAACCCUGAUGCAGCGACGCCGCGUGGGCGAAGAAGUAUUUCGGUAUGUAAAGCCCUAUCAGCAGGGAAGAAGAAAUGACGGUACCUGAGUAAGAAGCACCGGCUAAAUACGUGCCAGCAGCCGCGGUAAUACGUAUGGUGCAAGCGUUAUCCGGAUUUACUGGGUGUAAAGGGAGCGCAGGCGGCACGGCAAGCCUGAUGUGAAAGCCCGCGGCCCAACCGCGGGACUGCAUUGGGAACUACCGGGCUGGAGUGCCGGAGAGGUAGGCGGAAUUCCUGGUGUAGCGGUGAAAUGCGUAGAUAUCAGGAGGAACACCGGUGGCGAAGGCGGCCUGCUGGACUGCAACUGACGUUGAGGCCCGAAAGCGUGGGGAGCAAACAGGAUUAGAUACCCUGGUA
rnacentral:rRNA from 1 species